rnacentral:rRNA from 1 species
UUACAAAGUUCUAUAUACAGUUUUGAAAGAACAAAAUUCUUUCAGAUAAAGGUACUUUUCUUUGAAAAGCACCGAAAAUCUGGUGAUUAUGCCAUAAAGGUAACACCCGUUCCCAUUCCGAACACGAAGGUUAAGCUUUAUAGGGCCGAUGGUACUGCACGGGAGACUGUGUGGGAGAGUAGGACGUCGCCAGGU